GAGGAGCAAUAUGGGGUCUGAGCUUUUUGUGCUAGCAGCUUUCAGUCUCAAUGCUGCUCAGCUGACUGCGUGGAGAUUCUUGAGCAGAGACUUCCAGUUUUGGAUGCUUAGCUUCCAGCUGUGCACUGCAGCCCUGUCAAUAAACAUUCAACUCGAGAACGAGUGUUCCUUCCCUGCAGAUCUCCUGGGGAGGCUGAAGGUGAUGGAUGUCAGUGGCAGACGCACCACAAGUGCUGCUUUAUCUCCUAAAAAUUCUGAUGGCUCAAAGUUCUCCGCUCCUGGCUCCAUCUCCAGCAUCCCACAUGGAGCAAGGCAACCAAACCCCACGGGAUGUGCUUCGCUGCGUCAGGGCUCCCAGCAACGCGCACCCUGUGCCCACGAUGAGCAUGGAGAGAAAGGAGCAGCCGCUAACAGCACUCCAGCUCUGUGGCUCUGCCCCAUGGCCACGUUCUGGAUGUGACGGGCUGGAGCUGACGUGAGCAUAGUUGCAGUGCUCCUGCCUCCGUUACAGCCCCCAGCCCUGGUCUGCAGACAGCUGCCUUGCCAGCUCUCCCUGCGUUUGUUUAGGCAUUUCCCCAUCACCCCCAGCGUUCACUGGCUUGAACCUCGUGCACACUCUGUUGAACGCCCUCCCGUUUUUCCUGGCUCCAUCUCUGCUUUAUCAGGGCCGCUUUGAGCUCCGACCCUGCCUUCCCAUGCAGUGGUGGAGCCGCGGCAGCUCUCCCGCAGGUGGGGAGGUGGAUUGUGGCCAUUCGGAGCUGUGCACAGAUUCGGGAUGGAGCCGGGGACGCUUGUCCCACUGCCCCUUCCUCUGACGCUUCCCAUCCUCAGUCCUUAACAAAUUGAGGCAGUUCCACUUGAGGUGAAUGCCCAGGGAGUGCCGCUGCUUGAAGAUAAAAAGCAGGCAAACAGGGUCGCCAGCGUGCCCAGGGGAAAGAAAACAUCCCUGAGAGUCGGGGGGAAGCGGCACGGUGUGGCUCUGCACUGCCCUCCCCCCCGUGCUAUUGUUGUUGCCGUUCCCUCUUUUGACCUGAGCAGUUUGCAAAUAUUUUCAGUCCUGCCGGUUGUUUCCAUUAGUAAGAAAAAUCAAUGACACAGCCACAGAGCUGUCGCAGAGCGGCUCUUCACUAAAAACAGGCAGAGCACCGCUUCCCUGAACGCGGCUCUGCCUGCUCCCAACCCGAAGCUCCUCAAAGCCACCCCAAAAUCCCCCUCGUGGAGCUGGUGCUGCGGGCGCCCAGCCUGCCCUGCAGCUCCGACGGCGAUCCUCCUCCUUCCCAGCGCCGUGCCCCACAGCUCGCACCCGGCCACGGCUCGGCGCUUCCCGCUAAUGGGGAAGGCUGCUAUCAUUUCAUCCAGUCGCCGGAUAAUUUGCCAGGAAUGCCUAUUGAUUUCCUCCACUCCUCUGCGCGGGCAGGGGGAAAUAAGAGCCAUUCGUCAUUGCAUUAUGUAACGGUAAUUAAAAAUUACUAGUUAACCUCAACCAAAAAUUGAAUAAUUUGAAAUAAAAUUAAAUAAUUCUAGGUAAUCAGUACUGAAUGAGACCAUUAUUUUACUUAUCAGUAACUAAAAAUUACCCGGCGUUUCUCCUUGUUUGGAUGCUCUUCCUCCCCCUCUGUGUCAGUAGAGCCUUUCUAAUUUGUUUUAAUUGUUAAUUUU